CCUCUGUUGUACACACGUUUAUAAACCGGAGUUGUACGUAUGUAGAGCUCCUGAGAAAUCUGACAGCAAAACGAGAGAGCAAACCCUAGAAAAUCAAGAGAUCUGCGAUGGUGAAGUCGGUGGUGUACAUAUCGUCGGGCUUCUAUCUCAUUUGAUCUCCAAUGUUCAAUUUGGAGAUCCUCCCUGAAGAUCUAAUCUCCUCUGUUCGAUUUGGGUUCUUUUCAAGAUAUAAUCUGGACUGUUGAAAUCGAUUUGCGAAUCAGAAGUGUUAAAUCUCUGCUCAUCUCUUCUCGUACGGUUAAUUUAAAAUUAAAGAAUAAAAGAAUUCUGCACUUUUUAUAAAUUCAGUGUCACGACAAGUGGUUGGAAUAUCCGUGUGGUGCUCUUCAUAUGACCAUGUUAAUGGAUUCCAAGUGUGGAAAGGGUAAAUACAGUCCUUCAGCAUCUGCAAGGAACAAACAUGAGGUUCCGUUCAUUUACUAGACGAGGUUCCAUUCAUUUACUAGACCCCUCUUAUUGUUGAUUAAGCCUUUUUCUACUCAUUGCAUUAUGUUUUUGCAGGGUCUCGAUGAUAAGUGUUUUCUUAGUUUAUCAGGGUCCCUAAGUUAAUUAAUCGACAUAUUUUAGUUCUGUACUUGCAUAUAUAUUUACUUGUGGUUAUGGCAGAACUGUUGUUGCGUCCAUUUUGUGACCCCUGCACAAACAAUUUUUCAGGGGAGCCAAGAUAAGCAAUUGCUAUUUUAUUAUUUUCUAGACUAAUUUAUAUGAAUUAAAGAUUAAAUUCAAUGUGAGGAGGCAAUUAUAAUUAUUCCUGAUAAUAAAGAUUUAUAUAGAUUAUGUACAUGUAUCAUUGUUAUAUUAUUCCAUCGCCUUUGCUAGAUAUAAAAGUUUGAAACAAGUUGAACCAUGUUACUUAUAUCAACUUAUAUGUUGCAGAAGUGAGUGAUAGCGUGACAAAUCGAUGGUCUGUAACUCUAUGUUUUAUGUUGGCAGUUGACACUAAAAAAAUAAACUAAAAAUAUUUAUACUUCCCAUCUUGCAAUCAAAAAGAUUUGAAUUUAAUGUUUAAAAGUCCAAUCUGAGAACUACUACCAGCCCUCUAGUUUUCAUGGUUCUUAUGUGUUGUCUGUUCCGUAUCACAGUUUUAGAAAAUGUAGAAAAUAAUAUAUAUUGUAAUUUGCAUUCUACUUGGUGUUCGGCAGCAACUACAACUCGCAGGUUCUCCUUACCUGUUUGUUUACGUAACUAAUACACAAGAAAAUACCACAAUCAAUGAUUAAGUUGGAAAUCACUGUUGUUUUCUAUCCCCGGCGGCCGGCACAGUGAUUAUUUCUUGUUUUUCGACUUUAAAAAAUUUAGGUUUUGUUUGUCUUAAAAUUAUAUGUUCUGGUACUAUAAAUUGUUUAUCACGGGUAUGAAUUAAUAUCUUGUUUUUCUUGCCCAUGCCAUUCUUGCGUGGUGCCAGAUGAAGCCUGAGGGUAUAAAGUAGGAAUCACAGAGGAUACAAAGUUGGAUAUUGCUAAACACCUUAACCUCUUAAGUAUUAAAUAUUCUGGUAUUGUUGGAGGAUUUCGAGUUCAGGAAACCCCUGUUUUAUUCUCAUAAAUGUUGUUUCUUGCUGAAGCCUAGUUGUAGCAAUUUCGUCCAUACUAUUAACCUCUGGCCUUUGCCGUCUUGUACAUGACCUUUGCAUUAUACAUCCACAAGCUUUUAUCAUAUUCAUAACAUGCAUUUCACUUGGUCUAACUUCAGAUCAUAUAUUGCAGGUUGUUGCGCUAUUGUGCAGUUAGUAUAUGAUUUUGAGAAACUAUACAUCAUGUUAAACGUAAACAAGACGUGAAAGUUGAGGCUGCUGAUAGGCCUAGAUUGUAGAAUGAGAAGGAAGCUCUUGAGUCAGAGAUAUCAGACACUAUCGAGGAGGCGGCCACAUGUUAUACAGCAGAGAAACCCUUUUCUGUCAAACUUUUAAGCCCUGCAAAGAGACGACAUUGACGCCCAUCUCGGAUCAUCACAAAAGAGGUCUUUGCCUGAAACAAAAAAAUGGAGAGUCAGAGGACAAGCUUCAAAGUCUUUCAAGGUGGACAUAUAAUCAGCAGAGCCAAUCAUAGUUUUUUUCCUUUCAUUGUAAUGCUUCUUUUUUAUAAAAAGAAAUAAUGCCAUCAUCAUCAACAUUUAUAUAUGUAUACAAGUACAACCUUAUUAGUUAAAUGACUCAUUUAUACA